rnacentral:rRNA from 1 species
GAGUUUGAUCGUGGCUCAGGAUGAACGCUGGCGGCGUGCUUAAUACAUGCAAGUCGAACGGAUCGUAGCAAUACGGUUAGUGGCGAACGGGCGAGUAACGAGUUGGUGAUCUGCCCCGAAGUGUGGGAUAACAGUCCGAAAGGAUUGCUAAUACCUCAUGUGCUUGCCGGGUUUAGAAGCUGGUAAGUAAAGCAGUAAUGCGCUUCGGGAGGAACCUGCUUUCCAUCAGCUAGUUGGUGAGGUAACGGCUCACCAAGGCUACGACGGAUAAGGGACCUGAGAGGGUGGUCCCUCGCAAUGGCACUGAAACACGGGCCAUACACCUACGGGUGGCAGCAGUAGGGAAUAUUGGGCAAUGGGCGAAAGCCUGACCCAGCAACGCCGCGUGUGUGAUGAAGGCCUUCGGGUCGU